CUUCUCUGAUGUAGCGGCGGACGGGUGAGUAACCACGUGGAUAACCUACCUAUAAGACCUGGGAUAACUUCGGGAAACCGUACGNCUAAAUACCCGGACUAACUAUCUUUAGAACCGCAUGGUUCAAAAGUGAAAGACGGUCUUGCUGUCACUUAUAGAUGGAUCCGCGCUGCAUUAGCUAGUUGGUAAGGUAACGGCUUACCAAGGCAACGAUGCAUAGCCUGACCUGAGGGGGUGAUCGGCCACACUGGAACUGAGACACGGUCCAGACUCCUACGGGAGGCACAGUAGGGAAUCUUCCGCAAUGGGCGAAAGCCUGACGGAGCAACGCCGCGUGAGUGAUGAAGGUCUUCGGAUCGUAAAACUCUGUUAUUAGGGAAGAACAUAUGUGUAAGUAACUGUGCACAUCUUGACGGUACCUAAUCAGAAAGCCACGGCUAACUACGUGCCAGCAGCCGCGGUAAUACGUAGGUGGCAAGCGUUAUCCGGAAUUAUUGGGCGUAAAGCGCGCGUAGGCGGUUUUUUAAGUCUGAUGUGAAAGCCCACGGCUCAACCGUGGAGGGUCAUUGGAAACUGGAAAACUUGAGUGCAGAAGAGGAAAGUGGAAUUCCAUGUGUAGCGGUGAAAUGCGCAGAGAUAUGGAGGAACACCAGUGGCGAAGGCGACUUUCUGGUCUGUAACUGACGCUGAUGUGCGAAAGCGUGGGGAUCAAACAGGAUUAGAUACCCUGGUAGUCCACGCCGUAAACGAUGAGUGCUAAGUGUUAGGGGUUUCCGCCCCUUAGUGCUGCAGCUAACGCAUUAAGCACUCCGCCUGGGGAGUAC
rnacentral:rRNA from 1 species